UUUUCCUUUCACAAUAUAUACCCAAACAGCAUAUUUUUCUCACAUACAUUGCAGACAAAGAUACAACAUUGAAUUCAUUUGCUUUCAUAGGCAUUCGGUUUUUUUUGGAUGGUAUCCUCUCUCCACUUCUCUCACACUCAAUUUCUGGUCGGCUGAGAGGAGGCUUGUUUUAAUAUAAUCUCAUCAGUAAAUUAUCACGUGUAUUUAAAGAACGAAAAACACAACUGCUAAAUAUGACAACCAAAAAGAAAAAGUUCUUAUUUAUGAAAAAUUUCAACUUCGGCCAUUAAUCAAGAAUUAAACUUGCCAUAUAUCCGAUAUUCCUUUUCCAUUUUGCAAAUUGGUUUUGCAUUUUUAUUAUUCAUUUAAUGAUUCAUCAUUGUCAUCAUCAAUUAAAAUCGAUCAUCAAAUAGAUUCGAAUUGUUUAAAUUUAAAAUUAUCACAUCAUCGGGC